rnacentral:rRNA from 1 species
CCAGAGAAGCACGGUGGCAUGGGGUUUAGGCUUUUGCGAUGUUUUAAUUUGGCCAUGUUGUCUAAGAAAUGUUGACGCCUUCUAGCAAAACCAAAUUCUCUUUAUGCCAGGAUUUUAAGAGGAAAGCAUUUUCCAGAUGGCGUCUUUCUUAAUUGAAAAUUAAAUAAACGCAACUCUUUCACAUGGCAAAGCCUAGCAGGUAUUCAAACAUUUAAAAGAUCUCUCAUAUGGAAAGUCGGAGAUGGUUCAAAUAUAAACAUUUGUGAUGACCAUGGGUUCCUAGCAGCCCAACAAAAAUAA